CCGCUGCCUUGGAGUACCAGCCACGCCUGCGCCUGGGGCCAGGGGUCAGGAUGUGACGCCAUAGCACGCGCUUGCGCAUUACUGAACUCCCCCCUCCCCACACCCGCCAUUUUAAAUUUAAAUGCCGGUGACAUGG